rnacentral:rRNA from 1 species
AUUGAACGCUGGCGGCAGGCUUAACACAUGCAAGUCGAGCGGGGUGAUGGUGCUUGCACUAUCACUUAGCGGCGGACGGGUGAGUAAUGCUUAGGAAUCUGCCUAUUAGUGGGGGACAACAUCUCGAAAGGGAUGCUAAUACCGCAUACGUCCUACGGGAGAAAGCAGGGGAUCACUUGUGACCUUGCGCUAAUAGAUGAGCCUAAGUCGGAUUAGCUAGUUGGUGGGGUAAAGGCCUACCAAGGCGACGAUCUGUAGCGGGUCUGAGAGGAUGAUCCGCCACACUGGGACUGAGACAGGGCCCAGACUCCUACGGGAGGCAGCAGUGGGGAAUAUUGGACAAUGGGGGGAACCCUGAUCCAGCCAUGCCGCGUGUGUGAAGAAGGCCUUAUGGGUGUAAAGCACUUUAAGCGAGGAGGAGGCUCUUUUGGUUAAUACCCAAGAUGAGUGGACGUUACUCGCAGAAUAAGCACCGGCUAACUCUGUGCCAGCAGCCGCAGUAA